rnacentral:rRNA from 1 species
GCGAACGGGUGAGUAACACGUGGGCAACCUGCCCCUGACUCUGGGAUAACUCCGGGAAGCCGGGGCUAAUACCGGAUACGAACCUCGACGACAUCGUCGAGGUUGGAAAGUUUUUCGGUCAGGGAUGGGCCCGCGGCCUAUCAGCUUGUUGGUGGGGUAACGGCCCACCAAGGCGACGACGGGUAGCCGGCCUGAGAGGGCGACCGGCCACACUGGGACUGAGACACGGCCCAGACUCCUACGGGAGGCAGCAGUGGGGAAUAUUGCGCAAUGGGCGAAAGCCUGACGCAGCGACGCCGCGUGAGGGACGACGGCCUUCGGGUUGUAAACCUCUUUCAGCAGGGACGAAGCGAAAGUGACGGUACCUGCAGAAGAAGCACCGGCCAACUACGUGCCAGCAGCCGCGGUAAUACGUAGGGUGCAAGCGUUGUCCGGAAUUAUUGGGCGUAAAGAGCUCGUAGGCGGUUUGUCACGUCGGAUGUGAAAACUCGGGGCUCAACCCCGAGCCUGCAUACGAUACGGGCAGACUUGAGUUCGGCAGGGGAGGCUGGAAUUCCUGGUGUAGCGGUGAAAUGCGCAGAUAUCAGGAGGAACACCGGUGGCGAAGGCGGGUCUCUGGGCCGAUACUGACGCUGAGGAGCGAAAGCGUGGGGAGCGAACAGGAUUAGAUACCCUGGUAGUCCACGCCGUAAACGGUGGGUGCUAGGUGUGGGGAACAUUCCACGUUCUCCGUGCCGCAGCUAACGCAUUAAGCACCCCGCCUGGGGAGUACGGCCGCAAGGCUAAAACUCAAAGGAAUUGA